GGAUGAUGAUGAUCUCAAUUAGUAAGUCUCGUUCGUCUUGAUAGGUUGAUCCCUUCAGGACCAACCCUAUAUGACCACCCAUAUACCAAGUCC